UACGUAGGAUGCAAGCGUUGUCCGGAAUUAUUGGGCGUAAAGAGCGCGCAGGCGGUAUGACAAGUCAGAUGUGAAAGAGGCCGGCUUAACCGGGAAAGGUCGUCGGAUACUGCAUGACUAGAGGACGGUAGAGGCGUGUGGAAUUCCGGGUGUAGUGGUGAAAUGCGUAGAGAUCCGGAGGAACACCAGUGGCGAAGGCGACACGCCGGGCCGUACCUGACACUGAACCGCGACAGCAUGGGGAGCAAACAGG
rnacentral:rRNA from 1 species